rnacentral:lncRNA from 1 species
CGACUAGCCGGGAGACCAGAGAUCUAGCGACUGAAGCAGCAUGGCCAAGCCGUGUGGGGUGCGCCUGAGCGGGGAAGCCCGCAAACAGGUGGAGGUCUUCAGACAGAAUCUUUUCCAGGAGGCUGAGGAAUUCCUCUACAGAUUCUUGCCACAGAAAAUCAUAUACCUGAAUCAGCUCUUGCAAGUGAGUAGUGUGGGCCCCUUCUGCCCCAUCCUAUGUCCUCUAUCCCCUUUGCCCACCCUCUCUAGCUAACAACUGGAUUCAGCAUGCAGAGAAUAGUUUCAAAUAGUGGAUUAGGAACAUUAGGAUGGCGUGAGGCAUGAGCCUAGGUUGGGAGGCAGAGUGCAAGUGGGAUGUAUGGAGGGAAGGCUGUGACCUAGGAUGAAGGGAAGAGGUUGGGCAGCCCUUGACAGUGAGCUCUGUGCAGGAGGACUCCCUCAAUGUGGCUGACUUGACUUCCCUCCGGGCCCCACUGGACAUCCCCAUCCCAGACCCUCCACCCAAGGAUGAUGAGGUGAGGCACUCAGGGUGCAGGACUUGGACUAUAAACCCAAUGGAGAAGAUAGCCCUUCAACCUCUGUGACUUUUCUAAAGCUACUUUCCCCCCUUUUUGCCUUAGAUGGAAACAGAUAAGCAGGAGAAGAAAGAAGGUAAGAGAGAUAAGAGGUGACUAGGGAAGGGGUGAUGGCACACUGACUACUGGAUGAGAAAGGGCCUGAAUCCCCUCUUUCUCACAGUCCAUAAGUGUGGAUUUCUCCC